AAAGGAAUAGACGGGGACCCGCACAAGCAGCGGAGUAUGUGGUUUAAUUCGAAGAUACGCGAAAAACCUUACCAAGACUUGACAUCCUCUGACAACCUUAGAAAUAAGGCUUCCCUUCGGGGCAGAGAGACAGGUGGUGCAUGGUUGUCGUCAGCUCGUGUCGUGAGAUGUUGGGUUAAGUCCCGCAACGAGCGCAACCCUUAUCGUCAGUUGCCAUCAUUUAGUUGGGAACUCUGACGAGACUGCCGUAGAUAAUACGGAGGAAGGCGGGGAUGACGUCAAAUCAUCAUGCCCCUUACGUCUUGGGCUACACACGUACUACAAUGGCCGUUACAAAGAGCAGCAAAACAGUAAUGUCGAGCAAAUCUCAAAAAAGCGGUCUUAGUUCAGAUUGUGGGCUGAAACCCGCCCACAUGAAGAUGGAGUUGCUAGUAAUCCCGAAUCAGCAUGUCGGGGUGAAUGCGUUCCCGGGUCUUGUACACACCGCCCGU
rnacentral:rRNA from 1 species